rnacentral:tRNA from 1 species
GUUGCGGCUCAGUGGUAGAGCACUUGCCUAGCACACGUGAGGUACUGGGUUUGAUCCCCAGAGCCACA